rnacentral:rRNA from 1 species
CCACGCCGUAAACGAUGAGUGCUAGGUGUCGGGCGUCAAAACUCGGUGCCACAGUUAACGCAAUAAGCACUCCGCCUGGGGAGUACGUGCGCAAGCAUGAAACUCAAAGGAAUUGACGGGGACCCGCACAAGCAGCGGAGCAUGUGGUUUAAUUCGAAGCAACGCGAAAAACCUUACCAGGACUUGACAUACUAGUGCCUUGUGUAGAGAUACACAAUUUUCUUCGGAAACACUAAUACAGGUGGUGCAUGGUUGU